rnacentral:rRNA from 1 species
UGGGGAAUAUUGCACAAUGGGGAAGACCCUGAUGCAGCGACGCCGCGUGAAGGAAGAAGUAUCUCGGUAUGUAAACUUCUAUCAGCAGGGAAGACAAUGACGGUACCUGACUAAGAAGCCCCGGCUAACUACGUGCCAGCAGCCGCGGUAAUACGUAGGGGCAAGCGUUAUCCGGAUUUACUGGGUGUAAAGGGAGCGUAGGCGGUAAGGCAAGUCUGAUGUGAAAACCCAGGGCUCAACCCUGGGACUGCAUUGGAAACUGUUUAACUGGAGUGUCGGAGAGGCAAGUGGAAUUCCUAGUGUAGCGGUGAAAUGCGUAGAUAUUAGGAGGAACACCAGUGGCGAAGGCGGCUUACUGGACGGUAACUGACGUUGAGGCUCGAAAGCGUGGGGAGCAAACAGGAUUAGAUACCC